AUUGAACGCUGGCGGCAGGCCUAACACAUGCAAGUCGAACGAGUGGCGGACGGGUGAGUAAUGUCUGGGAAACUGCCUGAUGGAGGGGGAUAACUACUGGAAACGGUAGCUAAUACCGCAUACCAUCAGAUGUGCCCAGAUGGGAUGAGCUUGUUGGUGUGGUAGAGGCUCACCAAGGCGACGAUCCCUAGCUGAACUGAGAGGAUGACCAGACAAACUGGAACUGAGACACGGUCCAGACGCAUAGGAGAGGCAGCAGUAGAAAAUGUUGCGCAUUGGGCGCAAGCCAGAGGCAGCCAUGCAGCGUGUAUGAAGAAGGCCUUCGGAUUGUAAAGUACUUUCAGCGGGGAGGCGUUACCAGCAGAAGAGGCACCGGCUAACUCCGUGCCAGCAGCCGCGGUAAUAC
rnacentral:rRNA from 1 species